UGUAUAUUUUAGGAUCAUUCUUGUAUAUACUCGAUUAUAUGGUUCGAGUGUUUCUACUAGGUUACCGUAAAAAAAGCCUAACUACAGGAAUAGCAUAAUAAAAG
rnacentral:ncRNA from 2 species